UGCAGCCAUAUCAUGCUGAAUGCGCCUGAAUUUCUCUGCUCUGGGAAGUUAAGCAGGGUUGGGAUCCUGGUUAGUAUUUGCCUGGAAGACCAUCUGGAAAUGUUGGAUGCUCCUCCAC
rnacentral:rRNA from 1 species